AGUGAACGCUGGCGGUAGGCCUAACACAUGCAAGUCGAACGGCAGCACAGUAAGAGCUUGCUCUUACGGGUGGCGAGUGGCGGACGGGUGAGGAAUACAUCGGAAUCUACUUUUUCGUGGGGGAUAACGUAGGGAAACUUACGCUAAUACCGCAUACGACCUACGGGUGAAAGCAGGGGAUCUUCGGACCUUGCGCGAUUGAAUGAGCCGAUGUCGGAUUAGCUAGUUGGCGGGGUAAAGGCCCACCAAGGCGACGAUCCGUAGCUGGUCUGAGAGGAUGAUCAGCCACACUGGAACUGAGACACGGUCCAGACUCCUACGGGAGGCAGCAGUGGGGAAUAUUGGACAAUGGGCGCAAGCCUGAUCCAGCCAUACCGCGUGGGUGAAGAAGGUCUUCGGGUUGUAAAGCCCUGUUGUUGGGAAAGAAAAGCAGCAGGUUAAUACCCCGCUGUUCUGACGGUACCCAAAGAAUAAGCACCGGCUAACUUCGUG
rnacentral:rRNA from 1 species